AAUUAUGUACUGUACCAGCCAUGG
rnacentral:piRNA from 1 species